rnacentral:lncRNA from 1 species
AAGGUUAUAGAUCCUUCAGUUCUUUGCCGCUUGAGCGGUCAGACCGAUCUACUGGCCGCUCCCCUCCGGGACCCUCCAGAAAUGGUAUUGAUGAUUCUGAUUGGAGGUCAAUCUCCAGGCUGUUCUUCCCUCCUUGGUGGCUCUGGUUGUGGCAGGGCCCUCGGUCGAUCCUCCCUACCUUCAGGCCAGCAUCGGAUGAAUCUGUCGAGCCGACCCCGCCUGAUGAGCUCCUCGAUUUCAUCUCGGAGCUGAAUGCAUUCCUCUG